GGCCUCUCAGGAUCACUCCUGGAGAGUUUCCAGAACUCUACCAGUAUGGGCUAAGGGAAGGAGAGUCAAGCAAAGGCAUACCGAUUCCAUUCCUAGCUUGGGCAGUGGCUAGUGAGUGGAAGGCAAUCUGCUGCAAGU